rnacentral:lncRNA from 1 species
CCUUGCUCAACGCAAAGCACGCAAACUUUUAAAGUACAACCGAGCGAUCUCUCUGAUAAAGUUCCCACCGUGAUUCGCAGCCGAUGCCCCAGCAGCCGAGGGGUUGGCAGCCCCGGCUCAGCCCCGGUCGCCCCCGGCUCGCGCCGCACAGCUCCUCGCCGCCCCGCGGGCUUCCCGCCUCCGGGCGCGGGGUCGGCGGGGCCGGCGGGGCCGGCGGGGCCGGAGCGGGGCCGGCGCGGGGCCGGCGCGGGGUCGCCGCCGGGUCGCCGCCGGGUCGCCGCGGGCUGCAGCACCCCCGCCCCGGCCCAGGCCUCCCGCACCUGCUGGGCGCCCGCGGCUCGUCCCCGGCGCCCGCGCCCCGCCGCGUCCACGUGGAGCUGGGCCCCGCGCCCCGCGCCCGGCCCCGCGCCCGGCCCCGCGCCCGGCCCCGCGCCCCCCGCGCCGCGCCGCCCGCGCCGCCGCGCCCGGGCCCUGGGGCGACCUGUUGAGGACGCGCAGGCCUCGCCGCCGCCGAGCCCGGCCCCGGGGGACGCGGAGCAGCCCCGCCCGGCUCCCCGGGCCCGCCCGCCCGCCGCCCCCGCCCCACGGCCCCGCCGGCCCGCGCCCCGCCCGCCGCACUCACUGGGCCGCGGGCCCCAGGCCUGGCCGCGCGCGAAGGGCCGGCGGCGGGCGGCGCUCACGCGACUCCCCGGCUUCCGGCCCGACCAGGCCCCGCGCGGUCCUCCUCCUGCGCCGCCCCGCCGCCCGCCGCCCGCCGCCCCGCCCGCCGACACAAAGCCCGCGGGCCGCCCGGGGCAGCCGGGAGGGCGGACCCCCAGCCGCCGCCCCCGCCCGCCGCCGCCGCCCCCGCUCCCGGCCAGUCCGCACCAUUCCGCUCCGGCGCUCGCCGCCGCCGCCGCCGCCCGGGCCCGCCGCCCCCGCCCCCGCCCCCCGGCCCCGGGCGCGCCCCCGCCCCGGCCUCCCCGCCCGGCCCCCGCCGCCCGGCCCCCGGCUCCCCCCGCCCGGCCGCCGCCCUCCCGCCCUCCGCCCUCCGCCCGGCGCCCGGGCCGCCAUGUUUACCGCCCUCGGCCGCGGACCGGCGCCCGGCAGGGAGGGGAGGCCGCGGGCCUGCGGGGCCGCCGCACUUACGGGCUGUGGGCGCCGCGGGCCGGGCGGGGGCGGGCGGGGGCGGGGGGCUCGGCCGCCGCCGCCGCCGCCGCCGCCGCCGCGGAAAGUUUGCGUCCUGCGAGGCCGCGGCGCCGCUCACAUGGCGGGGUGCGCGGGGCGCGCGGGGCGGCCGCUCGCGGGCCCGGCCCCCGCUCCUCCGCCCGCCCCCGGCCGCCGCGCUGGGCUCGGGGCUGCGGGCUGCGGGCUGCGGGCUGCGGGCUGCGGGCCGGGGCUGCGGGCCGCGCGCUCCCCCCGCCCCGGCCGCGCCCACACCCACCUUCCCUGCGCCCCGUCCGCCGCGCGGGCCCGAGCGGCCCUCCGCAUGUUCCCCGCCGCGCACAGGCACCGGCCGCGGCGCACGUGAAGGCGACGUACGUGCGGGCGCGCAAAGCUCCGGGCGCUCGCUGCACCGCCGGGCUGGGGCGCGGGCCGCGGGUGCGGGCGGGCGGGAGGGCGGGAGGGCGCGGACCCGCACCGCCCUGCUCGGUGCUGCGCGGUGCUGCGCGGCCCUGCUCGGUGCUGCACGGUCCUGGAAGGUCCUGCACAGCCCUGCUCCGCCCUGCGCGGCCCUGCACGGUGCUGCUCGGUGCUGCACGGUCCUGCUCUGUCCUGCGAGGCCCUGCUUGGUCCUGCUCGGUCCUGCACGGUGCUGCGCGGCCCUGCUCGGUCCUGCACGGUGCUGCUCGGUGCUGCACGGCCCUGCUUGGUGCUGCACGGUCCUGCUCGGUGCUGCACGGUGCUGUGCGGCCCUGCACGGUGCUGCACGGUCCUGCACCGCCCUGCACGGUCCUGCACGGCCCUGCUCGGUGCUGCACGGCAUUGCUCGGCCCUGCUCAAUGCUGCACGGUCGUGCACCGCCCUGCACGGUCCUGCACUGCCCUGCUCGGUGCUGCUCGGUGCUGCACGGCACUGCUCGGCCCUGCACGGUCCUGCACAGCGCUGCUCGGUCCUGCACCGCCCUGCAGGGUGCUGCUCAGUGCUGCACGGUCCUGCACGGCCCCGCACUUCCCUACACCGCCCUGCACAGCCCUGCACCUCCCUGCACGGCCCUACACCGUCCUGCACGGCCCUGCACUUCCCUGCUCGGCCCUGCACCGUCCUGCACGGUCCUGCACAGUCCUGCACCGUCCUGCACGGCCCUGCACCGUCCUGCACUGUCCUGCACGGCCCUGCAGCGUCUUGCACCGCCCUGCACCCUUCUGCACAGUCCUGCACCCGCGCAGCUGCCUGCUGGGGCGGCGGGACCGUGCGCCUUAGCAAGACUGCCAACCUGCUUUGGAGGCCUCGUUCAUGCCAUCAUCAAAAACAAAAACAAACAAACAAAAAAACACCACCACCCUGCAGGGAGGUGCGAGAUUCCCUGGUCCGGGCGUGCACACACAGGACUGUGAGAGCAACAGGACCACCCAUCAUCAGUCGGGCAAACACAGGACAAAUCCGUGUGAGGAGAAGCAGCUUCACUCUUUGUAAUUCUACAUCUGCCCAGUGUAUGCUUUACUCAGUGACCAGACAUAAGCACACUUGUAUGGACACAGGCCCCAUAUUUUCCCUAAUGACCCUUCUCCCGUGAGAGUUUGUUAGGAAGACCUGCCAGCCAAAAUUUCUUACUCUGCUUCUCCGUGGUCAUCCAUACCUAAAAUCUUUGGGAAAAGACUGUCCUGGAAAUUCUGGGAUUCUACUCCAACUCAUCAAUCUUCUUUCAUCACUGGUCUCCUAAGACUAAGAAUUUUUUUUUUUUAAGAUUUUAUUUUUUUAUUCAAAAGAGACACAGAGAGAAAGAGUGGCAGAGACACAGGCAGAGGGAGAAGCAGGCUCCAUGCAGGAAGCCCGACAGUGGGACUCGAUCCCGGGUCUCCAGGAUCACACCCUGGGCUGAAGGCAAGGCGCUAAGCCACUGAGCCACCCGGGCUGCCCAAGACUAAGAAUUUAGAAAUGAGUAGUACUUGCAUAGAUAGGUAUGCUAUGGUGCACACCAGUCAAGGAAACAAUCUUUCCACCGCUCACAGCCCUGCUUCCAAUACAUCUCUGAGAGUUUUGGUUUAGAUCAAGAGGCAUCACAAAAUAAUUUUAACUCAUUUUACAGAUAAAUAUACAUCAUUAAAAUCCAGCAGAUGGGUUAAAAGGUGUCAGAAAAAAAAAUCAAGCUAUACCUAGUUUGAAUGCUGGACCAGGAAUUGUAACAAUUUAAGUAAGCUUUAAGUAAAUUGCCUUUUUUUUUUUUUAAGUCCUUUAUUACAUAGAGGACUUCAUGGUUCUGUGGUUUGUUUUGGUUUUGGUUUUGGUUUUGGUUCUGUGUAUUUCACGGAGGAUGCUCAACUAAGACAAACUUAU